GUGCCAGCAGCCGCGGUAAUACGUAGGGUGCAAGCGUUAAUCGGAAUUACUGGGCGUAAAGCGUGCGCAGGCGGUUUUGUAGGUCUGACGUGAAAUCCCCGGGCUCAACCUGGGAAUUGCGUUGGAGACUGCAAGGCUGGAGUCUGGCAGAGGGGGGGUAGAAUUCCACGUGUAGCAGUGAAAUGCGUAGAGAUGUGGAGGAACACCGAUGGCGAAAGGCAGCCCCCUGGGGUCAAGACUGACGCUCAUGCACGAAAGCGUGGGGAGCAAACAGGAUUAGAUACCCUGGUAGUCC
rnacentral:rRNA from 1 species